rnacentral:misc_RNA from 1 species
UACAGAGGGUGCAAGCGUUGUUCGGAAUUACUGGGCGUAAAGGGCGCGUAGGCGGUUUAGUAAGUCAGAUGUGAAAGCCCGGGGCUUAACUCCGGAAUUGCAUUUGAAACUGCUAGGCUAGAGUGCAGUAGAGGUUGGCGGAAUUCCUAGUGGAGAGGUGAAAUUCGUAGAUAUUAGGAGGAACACCGGUGGCGAAGGCGGCCAACUGGGCUGUAACUGACGCUGAGGCGCGAAAGCGUGGGUAGCAAACAGG